GCCGGGGUCCUUGGGCUCCCGGAUGGGAGGAGGAGCGAGAAAGCCACUAAGGGCUCUUUGUGGGCUUAAUUUCAAGAGUGAGCUCUGUGCCCAAGGCGGAGAACAGACAGAGGAGGCAGUCUCCUGGGGUCCUCCUGCUUUCCCUCCCUGUUAAUCCGUCCUCCCUGGAUUAGUCAGAACGACAUCUGGUCAACCUCACCUCAAGUCCUCCGUGCCUCUUCAGGAAUCGAACUCACGACCUUGUGCUUGCCAGGCAAGCACUUUACCGCUGAGCUAAAUCCCCAGGCCCAGAUCCUCUCCCAAGUGAAAGCAGCCCCAGAGGUGAACCAUCCAGCGGCCAGGAAGCUGGCAGUUCUGGUGACACUGGGCAGGUGAGAUGAUAAGGUUUGCCAGUCCAGAAGUGCCAAAGACUAGAGUU
rnacentral:lncRNA from 1 species